rnacentral:lncRNA from 1 species
CAUUAUAAGUGAAUGUAAUGAAAAGAUUUGGAUGUCCAUGAUAUCUAUAAAUUGCCAUUGUAUCUUGAUAAUUUUGGAUCAUGUAUCUCGGAUUGUCGAUAAAAGUUGAUGGUAAUAUAAUUUUUUUUUCAAUUAUAUUUCCAUCAACAACUCCUCUUUCAAUUGCAUCUUUAAUAUCUUUAUAAAUUUUUGAUCUCAAAUCUUUUUAAUUUUUUCUAAUAUAAGCCAGUUUUUUUCUUCAAUGCAUGAGAAAUUAUCUACUAUAUAUUGUUGAAAUAGUCUAUCUCCUCUUAUUAGUAUUGUCCUUUCAUUUAUUCUUUGCUAUAAUCUGUAAGCAUAAUUCUCUUAUUAUUACACAUUAUUUUAUAGUCGAACGUUUAUGAGGACAAUCUUUAUAUUUUAUAUCAUUCUAUAACCAUUCUCACCAAAUGAAAAUAGAAUUGAAUAUUAUAUAGAUAUAAAGCUAGGAUGUAGAUUGUUGAUCCAUUUUAGUCAUUCCAUUUGAUGCUCAACAAUGUUAUCACGAUGAUGAUCAACUUAUCUAAGGUCACGAAUAAUUAAACCCGCUAUUUCAAAAUAUGCAGGGCUGCAACAUUGUGUAGUAUCUCUUCUGUAUUUUUUUAUCAAUCUUAACUGUAUCGGUGAGAAAUUAGAUUCUUUAAAAUGAUCUCUAACCAUUUUAAAAGUUCGUGCAAUUUCAUUUUCUUGGUCAAACAUAUUCAUCAAUCCUUUGACAACUCCAUGGUCAAUCCCACAUGCACCAUUAUCAGAAUUCAAUACAGUAAUUCUGUUAUCCUCUUCAUUUUCUGUAUCAUAUAUAUAUAUAUAUAUGACUAUGCAAAUCUUGGUUUCUGUCUAUCAAUUGGUAGCAACGAACUCAUUUUAUGAUGAUUUUGAUCAUUGAUUCAGAAAAUAUAAAGGCCAGAUUUGGUAUUGAUCUCAUUAUCAAUCUUUGUCUCUAUUGAGGUAAAUGUAAACAUUGAGUUAUAUGUCCUAAUAUUUUCUCAAAAUUUAGAAGCUCUUCUUCCUUUGCUAUAAUCUAAUAAGCUGUCCAAAGAGGUUGGUGUCUCUUUCAGUAAUGUAAUAUAUACUCUUCUUUCUUGACAGCAUAGGCUAAAUUUAAGAGUCGAUGUGUCACAUGACUUAUUUACAUGUUCUUUAUAUAGAAAAAAAGCUCCAUGGUAUUAACAUUCAUGUUUAAGUUCUUCGAUAUUUAAUACUUCGUUAUGCAUACCUACAUAAUAAUGGCAAUACAAUCAAAAAAUAUUUUUAGAUAAAUUAUAGAAGGUGAAAAAUUUAUUAUUUAACUUACUGGAAUGUCUACAAGG